AGAGUUUGAUCAUGGCUCAGAUUGAACGCUGGCGGCAGGCCUAACACAUGCAAGUCGAACGGUAACAGAAAGCAGCUUGCUGCUUUGCUGACGAGUGGCGGACGGGUGAGUAAUGUCUGGGAAACUGCCUGAUGGAGGGGGAUAACUAUUGGAAACGGUAGCUAAUACCGCAUAACGUCGCAAGACCAAAGAGGGGGACCUUCGGGCCUCUUGCCAUCGGAUGUGCCCAGAUGGGAUUAGCUAGUAGGUGGGGUAAAGGCUCACCUAGGCGACGAUCCCUAGCUGGUCUGAGAGGAUGACCAGCCACACUGGAACUGAGACACGGUCCAGACUCCUACGGGAGGCAGCAGUGGGGAAUAUUGCACAAUGGGCGCAAGCCUGAUGCAGCCAUGCCGCGUGUAUGAAGAAGGCCUUCGGGUUGUAAAGUACUUUCAGCGGGGAGGAAGGGAGUAAAGUUAAUACCUUUGCUCAUUGACGUUACCCGCAGAAGAAGCACCGGCUAACUCCGUGCCAGCAGCCGCGGUAAUACGGAGGGUGCAAGCGUUAAUCGGAAUUACUGGGCGUAAAGCGCACGCAGGCGGUUUGUUAAGUCAGAUGUGAAAUCCCCGGGCUCAACCUGGGAACUGCAUCUGAUACUGGCAAGCUUGAGUCUCGUAGAGGGGGGUAGAAUUCCAGGUGUAGCGGUGAAAUGCGUAGAGAUCUGGAGGAAUACCGGUGGCGAAGGCGGCCCCCUGGACGAAGACUGACGCUCAGGUGCGAAAGCGUGGGGAGCAAACAGGAUUAGAUACCCUGGUAGUCCACGCCGUAAACGAUGUCGACUUGGAGGUUGUGCCCUUGAGGCGUGGCUUCCGGAGCUAACGCGUUAAGUCGACCGCCUGGGGAGUACGGCCGCAAGGUUAAAACUCAAAUGAAUUGACGGGGGCCCGCACAAGCGGUGGAGCAUGUGGUUUAAUUCGAUGCAACGCGAAGAACCUUACCUGGUCUUGACAUCCACGGAAGUUUUCAGAGAUGAGAAUGUGCCUUCGGGAACCGUGAGACAGGUGCUGCAUGGCUGUCGUCAGCUCGUGUUGUGAAAUGUUGGGUUAAGUCCCGCAACGAGCGCAACCCUUAUCCUUUGUUGCCAGCGGUCCGGCCGGGAACUCAAAGGAGACUGCCAGUGAUAAACUGGAGGAAGGUGGGGAUGACGUCAAGUCAUCAUGGCCCUUACGACCAGGGCUACACACGUGCUACAAUGGCGCAUACAAAGAGAAGCGAUCUCGCGAGAGCAAGCGGACCUCAUAAAGUGCGUCGUAGUCCGGAUUGGAGUCUGCAACUCGACUCCAUGAAGUCGGAAUCGCUAGUAAUCGUGGAUCAGAAUGCCACGGUGAAUACGUUCCCGGGCCUUGUACACACCGCCCGUCACACCAUGGGAGUGGGUUGCAAAAGAAGUAGGUAGCUUAACCUUCGGGAGGGCGCUUACCACUUUGUGAUUCAUGACUGGGGUGAAGUCGUAACAAGGUAACCGUAGGGGAACCUGCGGUUGGAUCACCU
rnacentral:rRNA from 3 species